ACACGUAGGGCGCAAGCGUUGUCCGGAUUUAUUGGGCGUAAAGGGCUCGUAGGCGGUUUCGUAAGUCGGGUGUGAAAACUCAGGGCUCAACCCUGAGACGCCACUCGAUACUGCGAUGACUUGAGUCCGGUAGGGGAGCAGGGAAUUCCUGGUGUAGCGGUGAAAUGCGCAGAUAUCAGGAGGAACACCAUUAGCGAAGGCGCUGCUCUGGGCCGGUACUGACGCUGAGGAGCGAAAGCAUGGGGAGCAAACAGGAUUAGAAACCCGAGUAGUCC
rnacentral:rRNA from 1 species